CCCUUAGAUGUUCUGGGCCGCACGCGCGCUACACUGACGAAGUCAGCGAGCAUCUCCUACGCCGAAAGGUGCGGGGAAUCUUGUGAAACUUUGUCGUGCUGGGGAUUGAUUUUUGAAAUUCUUGAUCAUAAACGAGGAAUUCCUAGUAAGCGCAAGUCAGCAGCUUGCGUUGAUUACGUCCCUGCCCUUUGUACACACCGCCCGUCGCUACUACCGAUUGAAUGGUUUAGUGAGAUGUUUGGACCGGAACUCUCUUACUCAGCAAUGGGCGAGAGAGAGUCUGGGAAGUCCCUCUAACUGUAUCAUUUAGAGGAAGUAAAAGUCGUAACA
rnacentral:rRNA from 1 species